GUGACUGUGAGACUUGCUGUUCCUUGUCUUGACCGCAGAAGGCAAGAGGAUGAAGGUAUUCGGGAGAGACUCACACUUGCUAUGAUCAAUGAAGACUAUCCUCCGGAAAAAUGGACUCAUGCCUAUACAGAUGGAUCAGCUACAUGCGCCAUUAAGAUGGAUGAGCAGGAGUUUUCAUUUAAUACCCAUCUGGCAAGAGAGAAAUACCACAUGCAGCCACAAGAAAGCACUGCAACAAUUACAAGGCAGAGACUGAAGCACUCAUGAAGGCCGUCUCAAUGGUUGAAGACUCGGCAGAAGAAAGCUCCUCAGUCGUCUUUCUCACAGAUGCACUCUUAUGGAAGCUCUGAUCAACAGUAAAGCUCCGCAGCUAGCCAGGAUAAUGCAGAGCUUGAGUAUUUCCUGCAAAAUAGCACUUCAGUGGAUUUCAUCCCAUUGUGGACUUGCAGGCAAUGAAGAGGCAGACCAAUUGGCUAAGCUAGGAGCUCAGGCAGAGCAACCAACAACACCUGUGAGUUACAAAGAGAAAGUCACCAUCAUCAAGGCACUAAUGAGACCAAGAAUUGAGGAAGAUGCUUUUCAUCUCCUUCAUCGGUCUGAACAAGUGAUGCUGGCCAGGCUUCGCUCAAGAGGCACAACAAGCUCAAUGCUCACAUGUACAAGAAAUACAGACUGGCACCAUCACCAACUUGUCCAUGUGGUGAGGAAGAUCAGACUAUGGAGCAUAUACUUCAGAGAUGUAAAAGGCAUGAACAGGAGCGAGCUGCAACUUGGCCGAUAGAAACCUCAAUCCACCAGAAACUGUAUGGAGGCAUUGAGGAUCUGCGGAAAACCACAAACUUCAUUGAGGCUACUGGUCUGCCAGUGUAGUCGCGAACGAAGAAGUAGAAGAAACUGAAUUAAAUAAGAAAAUAAUUAAUGCAUCAACACAUUAAAUAACGUCAUGCACCUGAUAUGAAAUUCAGGCGGCAGUGUAUUGAAAAAUGUUCACGUUUCCGGUACCACUGUAAUUAACGGGGAAUAGAAACGAGUAUGUUAUAAAAGCACUUUUAUAUGCUAUGACCAUGACUAAAAUCUGCAUAGUUGACAGAUAUAAUUCUUCAUCUUAAAUUUAUAGUUAAUUGAAAUAGAGCAAGUGAAGAACUACAUUGAGGUUAGUAGAACAAACGAAACAUCUUUAGACCAAAACCAAACAUAUUUUGAUCUAGUACAGGUAAGUUCAACUUGAAUGUUCAAACUUUAUUUCAAACCAGAACAGCGACAAAAUUAAAUCAUGUUCACUUACUUUCUUUCCUUACCGUGAAUCAUGUUGAGUUGGUUAAAAUCAAUGUCGUAUCAGAUCAGGCAAAAUAUUAGAAAAAAAGAUAGAAAUGUUUUAUUUUAUGUUUCACCUCUUAUUGAUAGGUAUGUCUAAAUUAGAUACUUAUUUUUUUUAAUUGAUAUGCGAGUUAUUUUCAUGGUGCCUGUGUUCAUCGAACGUGACCUGUUGCAAUUGCUACAAACUGUAGGUAAAGGUUUGCUUUGGGUAAACAAGAAUGCUGAAAAUGAAAGUGUAAGAGAACGCCCUGAUUAUUUUAAAAGUUAAAUCUAAAAACAAUCAAAAAUCUAAAAUUUGCCAACAUUAUGCACUCUUAAAAGCCUAAAAUGCAGUUGUGUUUUAUCUUGACCAGUCAAAUCUAGUAUGUGACCAUUACUACGGGAUGGGCGUCGAGAAUGCAUGGUCACGUGGCUAUAGUGGAAAGGGCGUCGUGGUUGCCGUAACUGAUAUAGGGAUAAAUACAGAUUUGAUUGGUCUUCAGCCAAAUAUAGGAGGAAUCGUUUACUGAGUAAGUUUCCUAAAUGUUCCUUUUGCCAGGGUGCAUGUACCACGUGACUUUUUCGCUAAUCUGGGGUGCCAAAAAGAUGGCGGAUUCCUCGAUAAAGACAUUUGUGUGCCGGGAAUGCGGAAGGACAUAUUAUUCCAGAAAAAGCCUUCUGCGCCACGAAAGAGGCUACAGGAAUCUUUGACCUUAUAACUGCGGCGGGUGGUCUUUCCCGGGUCGAAGAGGACUAGGAGCUGUACAGGUAUUUACGGUCGGUCCUCCUGGACACGAGCUAGCUAAUAACGAGUAUACAAUCACAGUGAGUGCAGUUGGUCAAAAUGGAACAAUUCCGAUUGAUUCAGUCAUAAGCGCGAGUGUACUAACUUCGGGACUUCGAAACGGAAAUAAUCUCACUGCCAAUUCUAUGCUUACUACAUCAUUUGGGAACAAAUGUGUAACAGGUUUUGCGGGAGUAUCUGCUGCAACCGCGCAAGUUGCCGGAAUUAUAGCGUUAGCCUCGGAAGCAAAACCGCAGCUGAAAUUGGCAGACAUCCAAGAUUUAAUUGUUUAUUCUUCAGACGUGGAUUGUUUACAAGAAUCAACAAAUAUAACAACAAACGUAGCUGGACUGAAAUCUAUGAUGAAGCACAAGGAUAUACUGCAGAGUUCUGUUAUAGCUGUUCUCAAGAUAUUGCCGGUUCUAUGAUUGCAUCAGGUUGUCUGCAUGUCGUAAAACCGUAAAGAUUCAAGUAACUUAUCACACAUCUGCUACAUACAUGCGCAUGUAUUUGAUCUCGCCGAGCGGGACAGUGUCAAUUUUACAGGAUUUUAAAUCAAACAGUGUGCAAACAGAAUCAACAAGAAGAAAACAGAUUCUUACAUCAGUUCAUUUCUGGGAUGAAGAUGCAUUUGGACUUUGGAGAUUCCAGCUCAAGUCUAAUGGAAAAACUGAUGUGAUAGGAAAUGUUUCACUGACAUUUUUUGGAACUAGAUCAAACAUGACAAGAAAGGACACAAUGUUGAAGGACAAAACUUGUGCACCAGCAUGUCAAUCUCUACCCAGCGAUUCUGAUCAUACGGAUAGUUGCAAUAUCAUAAUUGCCGCUGUUGUUACUCCUUCUUGCAUAUUUGUGAUUAUAGUUAUCAUAGUUGUAUCAUGUAUUAUACACAAAAAGAGAACAAGAGGAACAACCGAUGAAUCACAUAGAUCACAUGAAAUGAAUGACCCAUCAAACAAAGCCCUUAUUGCCUGAAAUAAAAAACAAAGGCAAACAAGUGCGUUCCGUAAAACACGGACGCAAAUAUAUGCUUUUGUUUCUAUCAAAAUGUGUUAAACUUGUGUCGUUCGAUGUGUGACAUUUUUAUAUUUCAGAUGAAAUUAUUAAAUAUUAAAUGACAAUGAAAUUUUGAAUGAAUGUGGAAUGUGGAACGUACCUAUUUCUUAAAUAUAAGCAGCAAAACUACUGAAAAUGUUUACAUGCCUACUAUUUACCUAACACAAGACAACGAGAUGAAAUGCGGAAAAUACAGAUCUAUUUGAAAAUUAGUUAAAACAGGAUAGCGAAUUAUCAAUUAUUCCAUGGCCACAUUAUUGGAAAAAAUAAAAUCA
rnacentral:lncRNA from 1 species